GGCGGGCUCAGUAAGUGGAGCUCCACCGCCAUUGGUCCGGGACCCCGCAGUAACCAGGGGAACUGCAAACAGUGUAGAGGCCGCUUCCGGUUCGGACACCCGGAACCGCCGCCUCUAGGGAUGGACGGUCAGACUCUGCGAAAGGCUGAGAGAAGCCGGUCCUGCUCACGAGAGAAAAAGGAGGGUUGCGCUAAGGACAUGGUGACAGACUUUGAUGAGAAACAUGAUGAGUAUUUAAUAUUGCUUCAGCAGAGGAACCGGAUAUUAAAGCAUUUGAAAACCAAGGACCCCAUGCAAUUGAGGCUGGAGCACUUGGAGCAAGGCUUCUCUGUCUAUGUCAAUGGCGCCAACUCAGAGCUGAAAUCGUCACCGCGGAAAGCCAUUCACUCUGACUUCUCCAGAAGUGCCUCCCACACGGAAGGGACACACGAUUAUGGACGAAGAACUCUGUUUGGAGAAGCUGAAAAAGCCUUAAGACGCAAUUCACGGACAGCCCCCAGCAAAGUCCAGCGCCGAGGAUGGCACCAGGUCUGGAGACUGGCCCAGCCCACACUUUACAAUACAGAGUGUGGGUGGCUAUAGGAACAGAAAUACAAUCAGAGCAUUUAAAAACCCCCCUAAGCCAGGCGCAGUGGCUACUUUCUGCAAUCCCAGCAUUUCAGAAGGGUGAGGUGGGAGGAUCACUUUGAGCCCAGGAGUUCAAGACAAGCUUAGGCAACAAAGCGAGAACUUCUCUCUGCUAAAAAUAAAAAUAAAAAUUCAGCCAGGUGUGGUAACAGGUACCUCUAGUCCCAGCUAUGCAGGAGCCCAGAAGUUUGAGGCUGCAGUGAGCUACGGCUGCACCGCU
rnacentral:lncRNA from 1 species